AAUUUGUAUGUUGCUGUUGAUCACACAAAUCGUUUUAUAGAGAACUAGCAUUGAUGAUUCCCUAAAUUCCCAAAAUAUAUACCAAAAAAAACUAAUGGUGCAUUAGUGACUUCACAGUGAGUGUGACAUGCUUUGUCCAGUGCUCUUCCAGAUGCGCAGGACGGCAAGAAGCAUCCUUACUGAGAGCAACCACAAGCUACCCCUUACCACCUCACCUGGUGCCACCAGGUCUUCUCAUCACCCCUUCACAUUCUAGCUUCCCUGAAGGAGGAAUUCAACAGAAGCUUGCAGAAUUAUCAUACAUAAUUUGUAGUGGGAUGAACAAUUGCUUCAUUGAGCUAAGUCCUGUUUGUACUCUGGAACCUGAAAAAAUUGGCAGUCCUGACUGCAUGAUGUGAGGAGAAUAACACACUGGGAGAACAUCUGCUGUCCCAACUGUGACUUGGAAGGAAAUUUGACAAAAUCCAGAUGUUGCUGAACUGAGAUUUGGCCAUGUGGCUUCCAGUGACUGAAUAGUUUUUACUGCCUCUUGUUCAGAAAGACAGAGUUAGUUAAAAAUGUGGACUCCUGUAUUGGAGGCAUCUGAGAUGAAUCUUUGCCAGAAAACAGGAGUGGGAGAGAUUGACAUGAUCACCAUAUAAAGCUGUAGCCUAUGCUCUGUACACUCUCCUGGUGCUUACGGUAAGUUAACCCCAUGACAGAUGAUUGCAGUUCAUUUUUUAAUAAAUCAAUGCAAUAAAUA